rnacentral:lncRNA from 1 species
UUUCAUGCUUACACGCACACACAAAGCGGAGGACGGGGGACACACAACACUUUAGUAAAAUAAUGGGGAUUAUUUUACUAAAUAACUCAGUCCUGUGAGAGGCUGCAAAACCAUUCUGAUUAAACGGAAAGUAACCCUUGCUCCUCACACCGGGAAUUGCAGGCUCCAUGAAGAGAUUCCAUUUUGGAAAACCAGGAAGAGCUGGAAAUUGAUGACAAUUCUACAUUUUGAACAGUUGGAGCACAAGAUUCACAUUCACUCAAUUUCCUGCUGGCAGCAACUCAAAGCUGCACUGCAAAGAAAAAGGUAGCCUGCCCGCUCUGACCGUCUCUGGCCUCCCUCAAACCCAGACAGCUGCUGCAAGCUUUCCAUCCUCUUCAGCAGAAACACACUGUGACUCAAUUCUCUCCCUCACCUACCUUAUUGCCUUUGAACCAAGUGGGGAAAACUGAGGUACAAUUGUUCCCAAUUUGCUAAAGGACACCUAACAAAUCUCUGUCAGAGAUAGCAAUGGAACCCACUUGUGUGUCUCCACCAGAAGACUCUGAAAGACUGAGGCUUGCUCAUGUCUGAGGGGCACAAGCUGUACUGGGCCAUGCCAGGGCCGGACAUUGUGCUUUGAGGGAUACAAAGCUUCUGGGCUCUUUUGACCUUAUGGGACCGUACAGCUAUCUGACAUUACACCCAAGGGUCGAGUACCAUUUCUUCUCCCAUGAUGUAUGCAGCUUUAUUCCCCACCUCAUGGGGAGUCAUGGGUGACUUGAAAUUUUAGCUUUGUUCAACCUUUACAUUUAAUGAGACUAAAUUU